AUAAUGAGCCCACCCUAGACCAGGAGGACCCAGUCCUUGUUCAGUAUGUGGUUGAGGAGGUUGGGCACCGGCCCUGUCUGGCUUUAAUCCCUUGGUCUGGACCUCUGUGGGUUCCCAGCUCUCCAACAUAUUACCUUACCCAUGCUGGGAGGAUGCUGGUGAGAGAGCUGGCAGUGUUAAACACGCAGAUAGCUAGGAGGAUGGUAUGGAAUGAACUGUCCUCUCAAAAUGAACAGGUAGCCAUUCAUAUGCAGUAUGUGGAUGAGGAGGUUGGGCAGCGGACCUGUCUGGCUU